ACACUCAUGGUGAAGCGGUUAUCAUGCUUGCCUUCCAUGUUACAUCAGCAGAUGAAGCCGGUAGCAAGCGGCAGGGGUUCGACUCCCCUUGAGUGUA